UUUUUUAGUGUCGCUGACGAGGCGCUGAUUGCACCAAGUUGUUGUACUACGGGAGCAAAUCGGGCAAUGAAUUACUAGCUAGUAGCUAGAACACCAAAGUAGCUAGAUAGGCAGCUAAUUAUCGAAUAUAAACCAGGGAGGAGAUUCAGGAGUCAACACCAAGAAAGAGCUCUCGAUAAACAAGUGAAAUAAAUGCCUUUACGCUGAAAAAUGGGUGGAGAUGUGUGUAAAUAGAAGCUAGUAACUUAGCAGGCUGUCAACGCAAUUUUCAAAGCCAGAUAGGUUUUUUUGUUUGUUGUUGAUAUCAUUAGCUAAUUGGUUGGCAAACAUUAACUAGAAAUUUAUAAAUCGAUUAACCGUGUCAUCUCGUGUGUUGAUAGCUAGUUAACUAUUUAACUAGCUUGCUAUUAUGACAGUCGAAACAUUGGUAACUAGUUGCGCUUGGAAAUCGAACGAGCAGGCUCUUCAAGAGGAUAGCUUUAGUUAGCCUAAGGUGGCUACGGUCAUUCAAUUAUCCAAAGCUGAUCGUAAACAACAUCUACGCGUUAUUGUAAAUAGGUAUUGAUUGCAAACCACUCGACACUUGGCAAACAUCACCGGGAAAUGAAGAAGUUCUUCGAUUCACGCCGGGAACUUGUGAGUUCCGGGCCUGGUUCUGGAGCGGGUGGAGGAGGCACUGGGUCCGGCAGCAGCGGUGGCAGUUUCAUUGGACGGGUAUUCACCAUUGGACGGUAUCAAGUGACCGUUGAUGAAACUGUUGCUGAAGGAGGCUUUGCCAUUGUGUUCCUGGUGCGGACCCACCAGGGGGUCCGCUGUGCCCUGAAGAGAAUGUACGUCAACAACGAGCACGACCUGCAUAUCUGCAAGCUAGAGAUCCAGAUCAUGAGGGACCUUGUGGGCCACAGGAACAUUGUGGGUUUCCUGGACUCCAGUAUAACUGCAGUGGGAUCAGGAGAUGUCUGGGAGGUCCUCAUCCUCAUGGACUUCUGUCGUGGCGGUCAGGUGGUGAACCUGAUGAACCAGCGUCUGCAAACAGGCUUCACUGAGGCAGAAGUGCUGCAGAUCUUCUGUGACACCUGUGAGGCUGUGGCCCGCCUCCACCAGUGCAAGACGCCAAUCAUCCAUCGAGAUCUCAAGGUGGAGAAUAUCCUGCUCCAUGACAGGGGACACUACGUGCUGUGUGACUUUGGUAGCGCCACCAACCGCUUCCAGGACCCUCAGGCAGAGGGCGUUCCACUGGUGGAGGAGGAAAUCAAGAAGUACACUACUCUGUCAUACAGAGCCCCAGAGAUGAUCAACCUUUACAAUGGCAUGGUCAUCACUACAAAGGCAGACAUCUGGGCUAUGGGCUGCCUACUGUAUAAACUGUGCUACUUCACCCUGCCAUUUGGGGAGAGCCAGGUGGCCAUCUGUGACGGCAGCUUCACUAUACCAGACAACUCCCGCUAUUCCCCGGACAUGCACUGCCUCAUCAGAUACAUGCUGGAGCCUGACCCAGAGCUGAGACCAGAUAUCUACCAAGUGUCCCACUUCUCCUUCAGGCUGGCCGGGAUAGAAUGCCCCAUCCGGAACGUACAUAACUCUCCUAUUCCUACAAAACUCCCUGAACCAAUCAGAGCCAGCGACGCUGUGGCCAAAAAGAGUCAAUCCAAAGCCAGGCUCUCAGACCCUGUCCCCACAAUGGAGACGUCCAUCACGCCCCGUUCACGCCCUAAAGCUGGAGGGGCCCAGUCCAUAGGCAUCCUGCCCAUCCAGCCGGCCCUCACCCCACGCAAGAGACCCAACAUGGCUGCAGGAGGGCCCCAGUCCAUAGGUGUUUUAGGCACCGCCCAGCCUGCAGUUGCUGUCCAAUUAGUCCAGCAGGUCACACCCCCACUGGCUCAGACCGCCCCUUCGCAGCCCAUGGCCACGCCCCAGCAUCAGCAGGGUCUCUUCAUGAAGCAGCAGGCUGCAGCUUUCUUCAGCCCACAGCAGCAGACCAACCAGCAUCUGGCUCCUGGACGUGGGCUCCAUAAGGUUGGCACCCUGACACCCCCCUCCUCCCCAAAGAUGCCCCCCCGAGGCAGUCACAGACGCAUCCUGAGUGACGUCACCCACAGUGCUGUGUUUGGGGUCCCAAUCAGCAAGUCAACCCAGCUACUGCAGGCGGCUGCAGCAGAGGCCAGCCUCAACAAGUCCAAGUCAGCAAGCACCACCCCCUCUGGCUCCCCCUGCUCCUCCCAGCAGAGUGUGUACCAGCCAGGGGAGGGCGGUGCCCAGACAGCCCCCUCUGUACCCACUGGCAGCUGGAACCCUUUUGGUGAUGACAACUUCUCCAAGCUCUCUGCAGAGGAGCUGCUCAACAAGGACUUUGCCAAGCUGGCCGAGACUACAACAGGGGAGAGGGCCAGCCUCUCCACAGAGAACCUCAUCUCAGGGCUGCAGCCUGUCUCUGCUGCUGGGGCCACAUGCAAGGCUUUCCCAGCUGAGAGAACUGCUGACAUCCUGGGUUUGGAUGCAGGCUCAGCGAUGUUGAGUGUCCCGGACCCCUUUAACGCCCUCUCCCUCUCUGACACCACAGAGAAGCUGAUUGAGGGACUGAAGUCCCCUGAGACAUCUCUGCUGCUCCCUGACCUUUUACCCCUGGCUGACCCCUUCAGCAGCUCUGCAGAGGGCAACAGCAAUGCAGUGAAGGCUGAGAUGUGUGUGGACUCUCUCAUCCCGGGCCUGGAUACAGUCUCAGCCAGCCUGCCAGACUCUCUGGCUGGAGAGGACUCUCUGCUGGGCUGCUCUCUGCUGUCUCACACCUCCACCCCUGGGGAUCAAACUAUCUGUGCACCACCCUCCUCCUGCUCCUCUGCCCCUCCUGGCUCUGCUUCCUGUCUGGACAAGCUAGCUCCAGUCUCAUUUGGCACUGCCCAGACAUCUGCUGAAUCUGCUUACCUCAUGUUGGGCUUCCAGCCGCCCGAGGCUGGGGAGAAGGGCACUGAGGACGAGUUUGACCCCAUCCCUGUGCUCAUCUCCAAACACUCCAACAACCAAGGUGGUCACUCGCGCAGCAACAGUGGCACUUCAGAGUCCAGCAUCCCCAACUUGGCCCGCUCCCUUCUGCUGGUGGAUCAGCUCAUCGACCUCUAGGGGGUGGGAGAGAGAGGUCGAAGGGGCAGCUUGCAGUCGUAACAUGAUGGGGAGAGGGGGCAGCAGAGGCACUUAUGUAGCACCUUGCAAGGUGAAAUGGAGGAGUUUUAGUGUGGACUAGAGAAUACUUUCUCUGGUGUGCCUCUGUGCCCCCGCCUCCAUCUCUUGCUUUCUUGAUACGCUGGUUUCAAACCAUUCAUCCUGGCCGUUGGCAUUCCCAUGUUGGUAGCAACAUGGCAUUAACUCUCCGUCCUGACAGACUGUCUGCUUCUGUCUUGGCUGCACUGUGGUCUUUAUCACGCUGUCGUCCAUCUGUCAACAUUCCUCUUUGUCCUGCCUUGCGGUUUCAACCCCACGCUAUUCACAUACUGCCUGGCUUGCCCAUAACCCCAUUGGCUUUGCUGUUUUACAAUCUUUGAUCAGGGUUUAUGCAAACGUAUGUGUCCCAGGUCUGACCAUGUAACACAGCAGUAUAGUACUUCUAUCUCUCCUAGCUAUCUGUAUGCACUCUUCCUGUAGCAGCUAUGACCAUGUCUAGUCAUUAGAGCAAAGCAGGCCUUUAGGAAAGCAGACAUUGACUGAACUAUCACGAGCUGCUUGCAUGGGCCAUACAGAUGAGACCAAUGAGCUGUCAGUCCUUAGGCCCCUGCUGUGUGUAACUUUUCUCAAACUGCUGUGGUUCACCGGUGCCCCCUGGGAAUGUUUGGCUGUCUGUUGCAAAUGGUCGAAGAUGUCUGUCAUUCUGAGGUCAAAAGCGCUUCUGCAACAUGCCCUGUUAUGGUGGACAUCUACAGACUGUGUCUAGCUACCCCAAAACUGCCUCUGAUUGUCUGGUCUUCUACAACAGCCAUCUCCUUGACUGCACAACCAUGUUUAUCUUGGCUGUGCUUUAUGUAUCUGAACACGGGAUUAUUGUUCCCGUGUUGUGCAUUUCCUGUAGUUUAAGGUCAUAUUGAGCGGGUGCAUUUAGCCUCUUACUAUACCUCUAAUUAUAAUAAUUAUCUGGAAAGGUUGACUCCUUCGUGGUAUUAUUCUAAAUGUGUGUAAUUCAUUUCAAUGCCCUCGUCUUCUUGGUCAUACUGUACAUUAAGACGGGUGCUCAAGACAUUUCUCUUAUGGGCAGAAUGCAUGCUAACCAGUUAUUGAUCAUCUGUAUUCCAAUAAGAGCUUUAUCGUGGCUAUUCUGUUUGAUUUGGGUUUCUGUCCUCGGCCCAUUGGCAAGGCUAACAGAUCUACUUUUCCCAGAAUGUGAGAGAAAUUAGUCCCAUAUUGAGCAUGGAUACAGCUGAACAGUGCAAUGGUUGUGUAUCUCAUUGGUUGUUUAGUGAGGGUCAGCUGAUCUUUACCAGUGAGCCAGCAGAGUGAGUAGUAGGGUCAGCUGAUCAUUACCAGUGAGCCAGCAGAGUGAGAAGUAGGGUCAGCUGAUCUUUACCAGUGAGCCAGCAGAGUGAGAAGUAGGGUCAGCUGAUCUUUACCAGUGAGCCAGCAGAGUGAGAAGUAGGGUCAGCUGAUCUUUACCAGUGAGCCAGCAGAGUGAGAAGUAGGGUCAGCUGAUCUUUACCAGUGAGCCAGCAGAGUGAGAAGUAGGGUCAGCUGAUCUUUACCAGUGAGCCAGCAGAGUGAGAAGUAGGGUCAGCUGAUCUUGGGUUUUGUCUGCUUGUGUUGUGCUGGUGUUGUCCUACAGCCAAUCACAGUUUCUCUUUUUGUUCCAUGUGUCUCUGUUGCACAUUUUAUCCUCAUCAUUAAUCUCCCUUCUUUCCAAUCUACUCAUCCAUACUACACAAACACACAUAUACACCUUGAUGUUGCUUGUGUAUAGUGUAAUGAUCUGGUCAAAUAUCCAUAACCAACUCAUAUGUAUAUAGAACCAUUAUUUCCUCGUUCUCCCAUUGUAAAGAAGUAGUUAAAGUAUACUGAACAAGAAUAGAAACGCAACAUGCAACAAUUUCAACGAUUUACAGUUCAUAUAAGGAAAUCGGUAAAUUUUAAUAAAUCCAUUAGGCCCUACUCUAUGGACUUCACAUGACUGGGUAGGGGUGCACCCACUGGGGAGCCAGGCCAAGCCAAUCAGAAUGAGUUUUCCCCCACAAAAGGGCUUUAUUCCAGACAGAAAUACUCUGCAGGUAUAGAGCUUCUUGAUAUGCCUCACCUGUCAGGUGGAUGAAUUGUCUUGGCAAAGGAAAAAGGUUUACGAACAGGGAUGUAAACAAAUUUGUGUACAAAAGUUUAAAGUAAUACGCUUUUUGUGCACAUUGCAAAUUUUGGGAUAUUUUAUUUCAGCUCAUGAAACAUGGGACCAACACUUUACAUGUUGCAUUUAUAUUUUUGUUCAGUAUACAUUUUAAAGUGCUUCAUAUUUAAAGACCUAUCAUAAUAUGAAUAAAUGUGACAGUGCUAUAGAAUGAAUGAAUGUAUGAAGUGAGUAUCAAUAUGAAAUAUAUACAAUUCAUAAGUACAUAUUAUAGGUAAAUGGAAAAAAGUUUUUCUGUGUAUUCUUUAUGGGGCUGUAUUUAAGAGUGCAAAGAUAUUGUGUCCCUCCUAUUUGUCCAAAGUAUUUUUGUCUAUCCUUGGUCUUGUGGGAGACUAUUUCAGCAUAGGGAAGCCACUAGCCCCAUGGUUUUAGCGAUCUUCAUUUGGUGGUGUUCUGAGAACAGCUCUGUGCUUGUGACUUGCCUUAUUGGGGUAUUAUCUUAAACCUUCAUCCUUGGUUUUCCCAUCGUUUUUCCUGGUUUGAUUUUCUUCCUCUGAGCUGUAGUUUAUUUAACAAGAGUCCCCUCCCUCUGAAAACAGGGCUUAUGACGGAAGGGUCUUCCUGAUAUCUCUGUCCUUUCCUCCUCCUUUACUGUUACCCCUAAAUGCAUAAAACAAGCAAAGCUAUAUCGCCUGCCUACUUACACGUUACAAUGCAGUCUCAUUUGUUGGAAACAGAACCAAAAUGUGUCUUACUCUUGACACAUCUUCAUCAUCCUCCCAGCCAGCAUAAUCAGGUGAUAUAAUUUACUACAUUGUACCCACACUUGAUUUACCUGAGGAAUAUUCAAAUUAGAUGAUACAAUGUUUCAGAAAUUAAACUGAAAUGCAACCCAUCUAAGAACUCUCAACUAGACAAAAUGCAUUUAUUCAAUUUCAAAAAGUAUUGUUUCCAUACUUGGAAAAUACACCAAGCAAAAAUCUACAUUUCCAUUUGAGGUGUUACUGCUAGUAUCGCAUACUUUAAGUUGAAGUAAACUUUAAACUUUGAAGUAAAAAUGUGUUUUACCCCUCUCCAAACCAUAUAUUGUUCAGUAAGUAGAAAUUGGGCUGUGGCUUUUGAAGAGUGUCUGGAGAAUCAGUAAAACUACUCUUAUUUUGUUUUUCUCCGAUCUACUUGUUGUACAGUCUUUUGCAGGUUUAGGUGUGGCUAACCAAUGCAAUUCUACAGUAGUGCUCAUAUUAUCCUUAGACACCACAGUGCUGUAUUCAGUAGAGGUCUAGCCUUGCCAGUAGAAUUUGACUUGUGUUGCUGUGAAACUGAUGUCCCUAGUGUGUUUGCUGGGGCAAAUAUAUGAACACUGUUGUACUGCGCAAACAGCAGUUGUCCAUAUGUGAAAGCACAGAGCUAUUAUCUAGCGUAUACCUUUAUAUUUUUAUGAAAUGAGAAAAAUAUUCAAAAAAAAAGGGACAUUUAAAUAAACAUCUGAAUGGAACUCUAGUCUCCUUGGUGUAUUUUUAAAUUCAUCAGUAGGAAAUUAAGUUCAAUAUAUGGUGGUGUUAUGAGAUAAUUGAAAGAGCAAGUAUAGGUGGAUAACACAUCAGUCUUUUGCGUAGUCACACACCCACAUAAUUUACUAACCUAAAAAUGUUAAGGCUCACACUUAAGACAGAAAACACAAUCUGCUGUCAGUUUGCCAGUUUAUGAAUGCAUUAAUAGCUUUCGGAAGCCUUUUUUCCUCCUUUCGCCCUAUCAUAAACACUGUAUCUCAGUACAGUAUGGAAAUGCUCACUCAUCCUAUUAUGCCUUGGUGCUAGACUGAGCACCUAACACACACUGCACUCUUACAUAGGGUUUGAGUACUCUCACACCUAACUUCUUGCCUUUCAAGCCACUGGAAGGUUGAGUAUCUUAGAGCUACAGUUCUACCUCUUCUCUUACUCACACCCUGCCCAACUCUUUGCCCUCUGGCUGACUCUGAACUGUGCCCUAAAUGGCUGCCACUAACCCUCUCCCCCUGGAGCUGCCGGCUAACUCCUGCUACCUGCACUACCAAGAGCUGAAAGGGGAGAGUAAAAGCCACGCUGUGCUAGACAAGGGGAGGUCAGAGAUUGAGCUGCCUGAAGAAGGCCACAGAGCAGACCAGGGCUGUGUCCACUCCAGC